rnacentral:rRNA from 1 species
AGGACGAACGCUGGCGGCGCGCUUAACACAUGCAAGUCGAACGUGAAGCUGGAGCUUGCUCCGGUGGAAAGUGGCGAACGGGUGCGUAACACGUGAGCAACCUGCCCCGAAGACUGGGAUAACACCGGGAAACCGGUGCUAAUACCGGAUACCUUCUUCCGAUCGCAUGGUUGGAUGAAGAAAUGGAUUCCGCUUCGGGAUGGGCUCGCGGCCUAUCAGCUUGUUGGUGAGGUAACGGCCCACCAAGGCGACGACGGGUAGCUGGUCUGAGAGGACGACCAGCCACACUGGGGACUGAGACACGGCCCAGACUCCUACGGGAGGCAGCAGUGGGGAAUCUUGCUCAAUGGGCGAAAGCCUGAAGCAGCGACGCCGCGUGCGGGAUGAAGGCCCUCGGGUUGUAAACCGCUUUCAGCAGGGACGAAAUUGACGGUACCUGCAGAAGAAGGCCCGGCAACUACGCGCCAGCAGCCGC